CCGAGCGGUAUUGUUUCUUCGGAAAUGAGAGAGCGGCGUACGGGUGCGGAACACGUGUGCAACCUGCCUUUAUCUGGGGGAUAGCCUUUCGAAAGGAAGAUUAAUACUCCAUAAUAUAUUGAACGGCAUCGUUUAAUAUUGAAAGCUCCGGCGGAUAGAGAUGGGCACGCGCAAGAUUAGCUAGUUGGUGAGGUAACGGCUCACCAAGGCGAUGAUCUUUAGGGGGCCUGAGAGGGUGAUCCCCCACACUGGUACUGAGACACGGACCAGACUCCUACGGGAGGCAGCAGUGAGGAAUAUUGGUCAAUGGGUGCAAGCCUGAACCAGCCAUCCCGCGUGAAGGACGACUGCCCUAUGGGUUGUAAACUUCUUUUGUAUAGGGAUAAACCUACCCUCGUGAGGGUAGCUGAAGGUACUAUACGAAUAAGCACCGGCUAACUCCGUGCCAGCAGCCGCGGUAAUACGGAGGGUGCAAGCGUUAUCCGGAUUUAUUGGGUUUAAAGGGUCCGUAGGCGGACUUAUAAGUCAGUGGUGAAAGCCUGUCGCUUAGCGAUAGAACUGCCAUUGAUACUGUAAGUCUUGAGUAUAUUUGAGGUAGCUGGAAUAAGUAGUGUAGCGGUGAAAUGCAUAGAUAUUACUUAGAACACCAAUUGCGAAGGCAG
rnacentral:rRNA from 1 species